UUCCAGGUGGCUUAAUGGUAAAGCACUCAACCGGCUAUUGGGGGAUCUGGGUUCAAGUCCCGGCUUGAAUU
rfam:Strigamia maritima strain Brora ctg7180001229151, whole genome shotgun sequence.